AAGUAACUCUUUAAGGAGAGGCAAACAGUACUGAUGAUCAAUGACAACACGUUACAGGUAAGUAACUCUUUAAGGAGAGGCAAACAGUACUGAUGAUCAAUGACAACAUGUUACAGGUAAGUAACUCUUUAAGGAGAGGCAAACAGUACUGAUGAUCAAUGACAACACGUUACAGGUAAGUAACUCUUUAAGGAGAGGCAAACAGUACUGAUGAUCAAUGACAACACGUUACAGGUAAGUAACUCUUUAAGGAGUGGCAAACAGUACUGAUGAUCAAUGACAACACGUUACAGGUAAGUAACUCUUUAAGGAGUGGCAAACAGUACUGAUGAUCAAUGACAACACGUUACAGGUAAGUAACUCUUUAAGGAGAGGCAAACAGUACUGAUGAUCAAUGACAACAUGUUACAGGUAAGUAACUCUUUAAGGAGUGGCAAACAGUACUGAUGAUCAAUGACAACAUGUUACAGGUAAGUAACUCUUUAAGGAGUGGCAAACAGUACUGAUGAUCAAUGACAACACGUUACAGGUAAGUAACUCUUGGAGAACAGGAUUCAGAAAAUUAAACAAUAUUUCUCAUUUUGAGUAGUUUUUAUACCUUUUUUCAAAAGCUUGUGUGCAUCAGCUGUGUAUAACCUGAUUUUACACCAGAUGAAAAGACUUAGAAUAUGAAAGUCAUAUGAAAAAUUGCUGA